UAAAACCAGCACCUCAAGUGGUCAGGAUGAUUAUUGGGCCUAAAGCAUCCGUAGCCUGUUCUGUAAGUUUCCGGUUAAAUCCAUUAGCUCAACUAAUGGGCCGCCGAAAAUACUGCAGAACUAGGGAGUGGGAGAGGUAGACGGUACUCGGUAGGAAGGGGUAAAAUCCUUUGAUCUAUUGAUGACCACCUGUGGCGAAGGCGGUCUACCAGAACACGUUCGACGGUGAGGGAUGAAAGCUGGGGGAGCAAACCGGAUUAGAUACCCGGGUAGUCCCAGCUGUAAACUAUGCAAACUCAGUGAUGCACUGGCUUAUGGCCAGUGCAGUGUUGCAGGGAAGCCGUUAAGUUUGCCGCCUGGGAAGUACGUACGCAAGUAUG
rnacentral:rRNA from 2 species